rnacentral:rRNA from 1 species
UACGUAGGGGGCUAGCGUUGUCCGGAAUCAUUGGGCGUAAAGCGCGCGUAGGCGGCCCGAUAAGUCCGCUGUGAAAGUCCAGGACUCAACCCUGGGAUGCCGGUGGAUACUGUCGGGCUCGAGUCCGGAAGAGGCGAGUGGAAUUCCUGGUGUAGCGGUGAAAUGCGCAGAUAUCAGGAGGAACACCAAUGGCGAAGGCAGCUCGCUGGGACGUGACUGACGCUGAGGAGCGAAAGCGUGGGGAGCGAACAGG